UAAAGGCAGAAAUUCUAACGAAGGCAAGUGCAUUGAGAAUACUAAAACUCAAAAUUUACCUUGGAAAAUUGGGGUGGGGGUUGUAUGCAAAACCUAGGGUAGAAAAGGUAGUGAAUACAUGGCAGAAUUUGAGGAAACAUCCAAGGAAGAUUUGGACUUUUGCCAGUAAUUCCCAUGAAUUACCUGAUGUUAUUCUAUAAUAAAUAAGCAUUAUAUCAAGAUAAUACUCAUCAACUUAGCUGCUCGUAUCUAAUUACUUCUAAAAAGUCCUGGACAAUAGAAGCAGGGGUAAGUUAAGUUGAAUAAAAUGCUUUCAAUUAAAAGAACAGGGCUUUUCUUUGAAAAGGCUAAAUGGAUGACUAUUUCCUCUUAUUUAAUCUAGACUCUCAUGCAAGCUAUUUUGAUGAAGGCAGGAAUAAUAUGAUAGGUGUGACAAACUUUUGCAAAGGAAGUCUCUGUAAUGGUCUGUCAAAGUAGUUGAAGUGGGGUUCUCUAGAAGAGAAUAAGAUCAAAUCUAGGCUAAGUAAGGAUGGCCCUCUUCCACCUCACAGGAAAUCAUACAGAAGAUCCCAUGUGCCAGACUAUAAACACUCUCUGUAGCAUCCAGACUAGGAACUGCUGGCCCACAGAUGCUGCCUAUUUGCACUCUUAUCCAGACAGAUGCAAAGCAAGAGGGAGGAGAGUUGUCAGUGGCCAAUUCUAGCCAGAGCUUCACUCAUUGCCAAGAGGGAAAAGGAGAUGAAAUUGAAUGACAGCAGAGCUGGCAGAUCUCAUUGCUCAUGGAUGAUUUCUCAGGUCCUUCAGGUCUCUAAGGCAAGUUUGAAGAACAGUGUGUGAAAGCCUUCCUUUGCCUGUUCCUGUCUUGACAAUUCACAGUCCUAAUGGUGAGCAGUGAACUGGAGAGAGAACUCCUAAGAGACACACAUGUAGCACACAAGCAUGAGGAAGCCUGGUUUAGGGGCUAUGGCAGAGGUGGAGGAAACUUGAAGGCAGUGUGCCCAUUUUGAUUAUAAAGAAAUAAUAAAUUAGAGGUCUAUUUAUGUCUUGGGUUUCUAUUUAAAAAUCCAGGGAUACUGGAUAUAGUAACUGGUUUGAUCAUAAUUUCUCACAUUUUAUUCUGCUGUUCUUGGUAAGUCCCAGUAGAAAGAUGGGGAGAGGGUGAAGAAUAGGACAGGGAGGAACCAAGCAUGAGACUAAGAAAAAUUAACUAGAUGAAGUGCCUUAAAGAAGACUACAUGUGCUCUGUAUCAUUGGACAAUAGUUUGAAAAUUUGCCCAAUGUCUCAAUCACACAUCUAACUGCCUUUAAGAACUUUUUAAAUUUGAAUAAUCUGUUUAAAUCAAAAGAACAAUUCAAA